rfam:Hordeum vulgare subsp. vulgare, WGS project CAJW01000000 data, contig: morex_contig_41962
UACAUACUUUCUUCGUCUCAAAAUUCUUGUCUUAAGUUUGUCUAAAUAUAGAUGUUUCUAAAUACUAAAACAUGACUAGAUACAUUUUUAUCUAGACAAAUGUAAGAUAAAAUUUUUGGGAUGGAGGAAAUAGAUC